GGAAAUCCCAACGCCUCCUCAUGGGGCUGUGCUGGGACAGACUGGUGCAGGAGCUCUCCCUGACCUUCCCCCCCCCCCAGGCCUGGCUCCCUGCUGUGCCAUGGGGACGUGCUCUUCCAGCCCCCCGCUCCCACCAGCCUGGAGGUCCUGGAGGCGCUCGUCUCUCGCCGUGGGGCCAGACUGAAGCCUUGGCUGGCUCUGCCUUCCACGUGGACCCCUAUUCCAUCGCUGUCGGAGGUAAGCUCCCUUUGGGGUGGGAGCUGGGGGGCUCCAGUGACCCCCAGGAAGGGCGCUGACCGCUGGCUCUGCUCCAGAGGACACCCUGGAGCCCCCUCCUGCUCCUGGCUUUCCUGAGUCCGUGGUGGCCAUCAUGGUCGUGUGCGUCCUCAGUCAUCGUUACCGUGCCCAUCAUCUUGCUGGUGGUAAGGGUGCUUGUCCGUCUGUCCGUCCAUCUGUCCCCUUGGGGGGGGUCAUGGAGCUCAGGGUGGCAGCUCGGAGGGUGGUGGGCACGAGGGCUGCGGUGCUUCACCUGGAUAAAAGAGGGACUGGGGAGGGUCCGGAGGUGUCACGGCUGUCUCAGCGCUGCACAAGGGUUGGGGUGCUCCAAAAUAACCCCAAAAAUCCUGGAGGGGGUGGGAAAUCCUAAUGGGGGGAGGCUGCAGUGUGAGCAGGGCCCGGCUGCAGCCUGGUGCUCCCCUCCCCAGGUCCUGAGGACCAGGAGGGGCAGCUGGAGCGAUGUGGCCGUCCUGUGGGACAGGAGAGACCCUGAAGUGGGGACGCAGACCCUGGAGAUGGAGAACCAAGGGUUCUGGGUGGCCUCCAAGCAGGACACAGAGGAGGCUUCUGCGUGCUGGCAGACGGACUCAGCAUCGUGAGGGAAGGAGCUGCUGGGCUGAAGGAGGUGAGGAGGGAUGCUGCAGCGCUGUCCUGCUCCCCCUUCCCUGCGGGAUGCCAGCUGCCCCCCGAGAAGGACGCAGGCUCUGGUAUAACUUUUUGUACAAAAAGCUUUAAUAAACUGUUUGUAGAACCCCACACCUGCCUCUCCUCUCUUUCUGCCUCUCCUGGGUGGGAUUUGGGGUCUGUGGGGCUUGCCCUUCACCCAGCCUUAAGGGCUAAGUAGGGUUUGGGAAGCCCAAGCCAUGACCCCAAACCUCCAGAGUUUGCUCAGCAAUCACUGCCUCUGCUGCUGCUACCCCUGGGGACUUGGGGGGCCAGGACUAAGCAACAGCAACUCUGAAAUAUUUUCAUAUUUAACUUCUCCUUAACCUGUGUUUUUCCCUUUUCUUUAUGGAAGCUGAGGCUGAGCUUUAGUUGGAAUAAAAGGUAGGAUACCCCAGGGCCUGUAGGUCUCCUGUUUAGCACUAGACCUGGGUCCUUGGACCCUUUCCCUCUUUUCUUAGGGGGGGUCUCUGGCACCACCACACUCCCCAUAGGAUAAAAACCAUAAAGAUGUGGAGGUGUUUCCCUGUAAUUUGGUCUGUCUGAUCCCCAGAAAGUAGGGCUGUGUGGGCAUCUCAUUUAUUAAUGUUAUUAGUGUUGUUUUAAAACUAAAACCCACUCCCCUGGGUGCUAAAGUGUACUUCCCGGUUCAUCUCUUUAUUUGGUGCUUGUGCACAGCUAAAGCAGCUCCUAAUUAAUUAAUUAACCAGGCAAUACUUAUGUAUACAGCUGUGGUGAUUAACAUUGAUACCCAAGUUAUGGCAGCGAUGGGUUUAUGGCCUUGUCAGAACCUGCUCACAGCAGCUGGUCGGAGGCUGAGCCUCUCUUCUGGUGCCCAAAUAGAAAGCUGGAGCUGAAAUGCAAACCAUAAUCUGAAAAUGAAGAAAACAUGGAGAAAACAGCAUGCUGGUGGUGAAACACAAGGCAAAACAGCAUUAGGUGGCUGGAGCUGGGAGAAGCCUGAGCAUCUCCUACCUGCUUACCGCUGGAGCAGACCCCUGGGACCUGGAGCUGGCAGCAGGGCAUGAGCUGCAAACAAAGACCCUGGGUAAAACACGGGGCUUAAGCCAAAAUGGUCACGGUGGUAGUGAAACCCAGCCAAAACUAGUUAUGGAGCAGUGUAUGCACGCUAGCACAAGGUGAAAACAAAUGCCACGAGCUGAAAAUACAGAGCUGGAGGUGGAACCUAGGGCACGGUGGGCAAAACCACAAGGAGCUGAAGCAGUUCCUACCUGGUGUGUGCUGAGAUGCAGGGCUGGGGCCAAAUGGAAGGCCUGGAGCUGGAAACUCAGGGCUUGAAUUAAAAAUGUAGACCUGGAGCUCAACUGCAGGGCUUGAGCUGAAAAUGAAGGAUCUGGGUGUAGGAUAAAUCCCGGGGAGCAGGGAGAGAUGAAAACGUUGCCCAGCUGGAGCUGUACGAAGCUGGAGCACCUCUUACCUGGAGCAGCCCCUGCGGAGCUGAGCUGCAGGGCAGGAGCUGUAACGAGGCAGCGCUGAAAGGAGCCGGAGCAUCAGGGGUGUGCGGUGCCUGCAGCUGGGACAGGGCCAAAAACCCAGCGCUGGAGCUGAAAUUAAACAUCUGGGAACAAAAGGUGCUGAAAGCGUAACGGAGGGUGAGGACACGGCACUGAGGGGGUGAGAACGGGAUGGGGGGAUGGGAAAGGGGCAUGGGGAUGCACCCAGUGGGGAGCAGCGGCCCCACUGCAGGCACUGCUGGGCACAUUCACCACCCACCAGCUCCUGGCAACACGGGACGGGACAGGGCAGGGACCCCUUG
rnacentral:lncRNA from 1 species